rnacentral:rRNA from 1 species
UGCCAGACUCCUACGGGAGGCAGCAGUGGGGGAUAUUGCACAAUGGGGGGAACCCUGAUGCAGCGACGCCGCGUGGGUGAAGGAGUGCUUCGGCAUGUAAAGCCCUAUCGGCAGGGAAGAAGCAAGACGGUACCUGACUAAGAAGCCCCGGGUAACUACGGGCCAGCAGCCGCGGGAAUACGUAUGGAGCAAGCGUUAUCCGGAUUUACUGGGUGUAAAGGGAGCGUAGGCGGUAAGGCAAGUCUGAUGUGAAAGGCCAGGGCUCAACCCUGGGACUGCAUUGGAAACUGUUUAACUGGAGUGUCGGAGAGGCAAGUGGAAUUCCUAGUGUAGCGGUGAAAUGCGUAGAUAUUAGGAGGAACACCAGUGGCGAAGGCGGCUUGCUGGACGAUGACUGACGCUGAGGCUCGAAAGCGUGGGGAGCAAACAGGAUUAGAUACCCGAGUAA